rnacentral:rRNA from 1 species
UACGGGGGGGGCAAGCGUUGUUCGGAAUUACUGGGCGUAAAGGGCUCGUAGGCGGCCAACUAAGUCAGACGUGAAAUCCCUCGGCUUAACCGGGGAACUGCGUCUGAUACUGGAUGGCUUGAGUGUGGGAGAGGGAUGCGGAAUUCCAGGUGUAGCGGUGAAAUGCGUAGAUAUCUGGAGGAACACCGGUGGCGAAGGCGGCAUCCUGGACCACGACUGACGCUGAGUGAGCGAAAGCCAGGGGAGCGAACAGG